AGAGUUUGAUCAUGGCUCAGAAUCAACGCUGGCGGCGCGCUUAACACAUGCAAGUCGCACGAGAAAGCAGGAGCAAUCUUGUGAGUAAAGUGGCGUACGGGUGAGUAACACGUGGAUCAUCUACCUUCUAGUGGGGCAUACCUCUGGGAAACCGGAGAUAAUUCCGCAUAAGCUCGUGAGAGGAAAGCAGCAAUGCGCUGGAAGAGGAGUCCGCGGCUGAUUAGCUAGAUGGCGGGGUAACGGCCCACCAUGGCGAAGAUCGGUAGCCGGCCUGAGAGGGCACACGGCCACACUGGCACUGAAACACGGGCCAGACUCCUACGGGAGGCAGCAGUGGGGAAUCUUGCACAAUGGAGGCAACUCUGAUGCAGCGACGCCGCGUGAGCGAUGAAGCCCUUCGGGGUGUAAAGCUCUUUCGACGGGAAAGAUUAUGACGGUACCCGGAGAAGAAGCUGCGGCUAACUACGUGCCAGCAGCCGCGGUAAUACGUAGGCAGCGAGCGUUGUUCGGAAUUACUGGGCGUAAAGAGUGUGUAGGCGGUGUUCCAAGUCUGGUGUGAAAUCUCCCGGCUUAACUGGGAGGGUGCGCCGGAAACUGGAAUGCUCGAGGGUGGGAGAGGUAAGCGGAAUUCCUGGUGCAGCGGUGAAAUGCGUAGAUAUCAGGAGGAACACCUGUGGUGUAGACAGCUUACUGGACCACUUCUGACGCUGAGACACGAAAGCGUGGGUAGCAAACAGGAUUAGAUACCCUAGUAGUCC
rnacentral:rRNA from 1 species